UACGUAGGGUGCGAGCGUUAAUCGGAAUUACUGGGCGUAAAGCGUGCGCAGGCGGUUCGUUAAGUCAGCUGUGAAAGCCCCGGGCUUAACCUGGGAAUGGCGGUUGAAACUGGCGAACUUGAAUCUGGCAGAGGGGGGUGGAAUUCCACGUGUAGCAGUGAAACGCGUAGAGAUGUGGAGGAACACCGAUGGCGAAGGCGGCUACCUGGAUUGAUACUGACACUGAGGCGCGAGAGCGUGGGGAGCAAACAGG
rnacentral:rRNA from 1 species